GGACCAUAGCUCAGUGGUUGAACAACUGUUUUGCAUGCAAAAGGUCCUGGGUUCAAUCCUUAGCGUCUCCA